rnacentral:rRNA from 1 species
UACGUAGGGGGCGAGCGUUGUCCGGAAUUAUUGGGCGUAAAGAGCGUGUAGGCGGUUCGGCAAGUCGGCUGUGAAAUCCCGGGGCUCAACCCUGGGCGUGCAGCGGAUACUGCCUGGCUAGAGGGUGGUAGAGGCGACUGGAAUUCCGAGUGUAGCGGUGAAAUGCGCAGAUAUUCGGAGGAACACCAGUGGCGAAGGCGGCUCGCUGGGCCACUCCUGACGCUGAGACGCGAAAGCGUGGGGAGCGAACAGG